rnacentral:rRNA from 1 species
GGAGUUACUAGUAAUCGCAGAUCAGAAUGCUGCGGUGAAUGCGUUCCCGGGUCUUGUACACACCGCCCGUCACACCACGGGAGUUGGAGACGCCCGAAGCCGAUUAUCUAACCUUUUGGAAGAAGUCGUCGAAGGUGGAAUCAAUAACUGGGGUGAAGUCGUAACAAGGUAGCCGUAUCGGAAGGUGCGGCUGGAUCACCUCCUUUCUAAGGAGA